GUCGACGACUUCCGUUAUUGAUUAUGACGUACUUGUACUGAUUGAGAUUUUAACACGAAGUGAGUCCGCGAACGGGUGAGUAACACGUGGGUAACCUGCCCAGAAGUAGGGGAUAACACCUGGAAACAGAUGCUAAUACCGUAUAACAGAGAAAACCGCAUGGUUUUCUUUUAAAAGAUGGCUCUGCUAUCACUUCUGGAUGGACCCGCGGCGUAUUAGCUAGUUGGUGAGGUAAAGGCUCACCAAGGCAGUGAUACGUAGCCGACCUGAGAGGGUAAUCGGCCACAUUGGGACUGAGACACGGCCCAGACUCCUACGGGAGGCAGCAGUAGGGAAUCUUCCACAAUGGACGCAAGUCUGAUGGAGCAACGCCGCGUGAGUGAAGAAGGGUUUCGGCUCGUAAAGCUCUGUUGUUAAAGAAGAACGUGGGUAAGAGUAACUGUUUACCCAGUGACGGUAUUUAACCAGAAAGCCACGGCUAACUACGUGCCAGCAGCCGCGGUAAUACGUAGGUGGCAAGCGUUAUCCGGAUUUAUUGGGCGUAAAGCGAGCGCAGGCGGUCUUUUAAGUCUAAUGUGAAAGCCUUCGGCUCAACCGAAGAAGUGCAUUGGAAACUGGGAGACUUGAGUGCAGAAGAGGACAGUGGAACUCCAUGUGUAGCGGUGAAAUGCGUAGAUAUAUGGAAGAACACCAGUGGCGAAGGCGGCUGUCUGGUCUGCAACUGACGCUGAGGCUCGAAAGCAUGGGUAGCGAACAGGAUUAGAUACCCUGGUAGUCCAUGCCGUAAACGAUGAUUACUAAGUGUUGGAGGGUUUCCGCCCUUCAGUGCUGCAGCUAACGCAUUAAGUAAUCCGCCUGGGGAGUACGACCGCAAGGUUGAAACUCAAAAGAAUUGACGGGGGCCCGCACAAGCGGUGGAGCAUG
rnacentral:rRNA from 1 species